GCCGGGCACAGUGGUGCACACCUGUAAUCCCAGUGACUUGGGAGGCUGAGGCCGGGGGAUCAUGACUUCAAAGCCAGCCUCAGCAACAGCGAGGCACUGAGCACCUCAGUGAGACCCUGUCUCUA
rnacentral:sRNA from 1 species